UUAUCAGAUUUCAGGUUUUCUGUUAUGAAUAUUGCAUGUAAAGUUAGCAUUUAACAUUUUUGCUAUUUGAUUGUGUUUGCAAGUGAUAAUGACCGCAUCAAGGAUAAAUAGAAUGGAAAUAAAAUGUGUAGAAUGAGAAACAAAACGGUGGUGAUGUGUGUAGCACAAUUAUUGCUAAAAUAUGAGGUUGCAGGUUAAUUAUGUACAAGUAAUAUCUUAGCAACACAUCAGAAU
rnacentral:lncRNA from 1 species